CAUGUCUUUCUGUGGAAAAUAUAAGUGGUUCAGUGCUCAAACAGUACUCCAAUCCGGCAAUGUGAAAGGUUCUCCGAACUGUGGAGUAUGUUGUUCAGUGAAGGCCGUAAUAAAGUAUACAAGAAACAGCAGAGUUUUUGAAAUUUCUUGAAUUUGCAAUCGCUUAAAAGUGGGACAACGUGCGCUGUCAACUGAACACUGGAGAAAAAAAAGAAGAAAAAAUAAAAUGAAGCUGCCAUUUAGGCAGACGAUGUAAUGUCGAAGAGUAGACGGGAAUUCUUCGACAUUCUUCACUUCUUGAUUGGUUCCAGUGAACGGAUACUUAAUACCGCCCACUACCUCGGAUUGCUGCUAAACUGGCGAAGGAAGGUCCUUGAAAUUUCCAGAUUAUCGGAAGUCUGGUUUACAGGAAGUCUACAAAGGCGAGGAUUCAUUUCAGGCCCUGGUAAUUCCCUGAUCCGUUUGCCCUGGAAGCUUCAAAUGCACCUCCACUAAAGGAUACGCGAUGGCUGAUACAGCCAGAUGCCUGAGGCAGUCGUGAGUUCAUCUUUGUUACUACAAACUACCUGGGCACCAUUGGAGGACGAAGGCAUCUUGGCGUUCCUCAUCUCGUUCGGAGGCCGAGGUGAAGACCCCGAAGACGCAGUUGGAGGAGACGGCGGAGAAUGUCUACAAUGCUCUAUACUCUUGCCUUCUCUCCUUCUUAAUGACCCCAGUG